AGUUUCUGACCUAUCAGCUUUGGACGGUAGGGUAUUGGCCUACCGGGGCAGCGACGGGUAACGGGGAAUUAGGGUUCGAUUCCGGAGAGGGAGCCUGAGAAUGGCUACCACAUCUAAGGAAGGCAGCAGGCGCGUAAAUUACCCAAUCCUAACACAGGGAGGUAGUGACAAGAAAUAACAAUACGAGGCUUAAAGUCUUGUAAUUGGAAUGACG
rnacentral:rRNA from 1 species